rnacentral:rRNA from 1 species
UAAUACGGAGGGUGCAAGCGUUAAUCGGAAUUACUGGGCGUAAAGCGCACGCAGGCGGUUUGUUAAGUCAGAUGUGAAAUCCCCGGGCUCAACCUGGGAACUGCAUUUGAAACUGGCAAGCUAGAGUCUCGUAGAGGGGGGUAGAAUUCCAGGUGUAGCGGUGAAAUGCGUAGAGAUCUGGAGGAAUACCGGUGGCGAGGGCGGCCCCCUGGACGAAGACUGACGCUCAGGUGCGAAAGCGUGGGGAGCAAACAGGAUUAGAUACCCUGGUAGUCCACGCUGUAAACGAUGUCGAUUUGGAGGUUGUGCCCUUGAGGCGUGGCUUCCGGAGCUAACGCGUUAAAUCGACCGCCUGGGGAGUACGGCCGCAAGGUUA